GGAUCAAUGAUGAAUGUCUGUGAGCAUUCUUAGAGUCAUGAAUCAUGACGACAAAUUUAAUUCUGAGAUCAACAUCAUAAAGUAUCCAGUGACAGCUAUAAGAAGUAGUCUUCUUUUAUAAGUCAGUAAAUGUAAAUAAAAAUUGACUAGGAAGUCAUUUAAUCAAAAGGCAGCUCACAAAGAAGACUACAUAUAUGUAUAUAUGUAUAUAUGUAAGAAGAAAGUGUGACAGAGUAAUGACCAUGGAGGUGAGGGAUAAGAUGAAAUGAGCAGAAGCAGGCAGAAUACAUAGAUAAGCGAACGGAACAUCAAUCUCUUUAUAACCUCUUCUGUCUAUACUUCAAGAAUGGAUAUCCUGCAAGUCGGCUUCGUAGAGUCUCCCUUGAAAGUGGACCUCAUGAUCUAGCCUUUAUGUCCGUGGAUUGACACUGUGAUGGAUUCCCCCCAAGUUCAUUUAGAUAUUCUCUCUUAUUCAUAAAUGUCACGGUCAGCUCUGUUCUUAUAGAUACCAGAAUGGAUACCCCAAGCUGAUGUAUAUACACCCUUCCUCGGUUGUGAGAUUCCUGCUCUGGUGGUUGUAGUCAUAAGAUAUACAUCGUUGCGUACACCUUGGUUGUGGGCACGCACACUACUGUUGAAUUACCACCUUGUCCAAGUGGAUGGAUGCCCUCAAUGGGAUUGGCACUUUCUCCAUUGCUCCUGCACUCUGUUAUCAGCACUUCGGGUUCAUAAUGUACACACAGCAAUGGAUUUUCUGCAGCUGAUUUUCUAUAUUCUGUUUUCUUCGGGUAAGCAGAAACAGAUGCCUUCCUCACUGGUCACCAGGUUCAAGGUCCCUCAUAUGUGUCAGGUGCAUAGUCACCAACAAAGGCCAACUUCACAUCAAUGGGUGGAUCGUACCUCGGCCUAAGCUCCAGGAUUGAUUGUGCUGUUAGAGUCACAGCUACAACCGGCUCAGGGAACCCAGUGGAAGAGGAGGUGGAGUGUGAGAGCCAAUUGGAAUGGAAGACAGUGAGGAAACAAGGCCUUCGAGACACAAGAGGACUGCUGAGCUCACAAAGACUGAGGCAGCACCCUCAGGACCUGCACAGGUCUAAGCUUGAUGCGAUCUGAGUACUGAGAGGGCAACUGGACACAAUUCUAUAUUGAUAACCCAGAAGCUUUCUCCAGUUGAUAAACUCUUUCAAAGGAAAAACUUGUUUUCUACCAUGGAGUGACACUGGAUAUAGAAACUACCGUUAACAGCAGACUCCAUGGCUCAGACUUCCAAUACAAUAUGAACUCAGUUGCAAUUUUUUGCAAGGUUUUUCGACUCAUAGUUCUUUGUCUGGGUACUUUUUCACCCUACAGAGAAUUUCUGUAUAUAUUAUCGUUUCUGAUUCUAGUGUUUUGAAUUUUCGCUGGGUCUAAAUAUCUCUGUCUCAGUGUCAGUAUGUGUUUCUCAUGAUUUUUCUUUGCUUCUCUUUUUCCUAUU
rnacentral:lncRNA from 1 species